rnacentral:rRNA from 1 species
GACGAACGCUGGCGGCGUGCCUAAUACAUGCAAGUAGGACGCAGUUGCGAACGGGUGAGUAACGCGUAGGUAACUGCCUAGUAGAGGGGGAUAACUAUUGGAAACGAUAGCUAAUACCGCAUACUAGUAGAAGGACCGGCGUGGUAUUAGCUAGUAGGUAGGGUAAUGGCCUACCUAGGCAACGAUACAUAGCCGACCGGAGAGGGUGAUCGGCCACCCUGUGACUGAGACACGUCCCAGACUCCUACGGGAGUCAGCAGUAGGGAAUCUUCGGCCAUGGGGGGAACCCUGACCGAGCAACGCCGCGUGAGUGAAGCAGGUUUUCGGAUCGUAAAGCUCUGUUGUUAAUGAAGCUGUACUUAACCAGAAAGGGACGGCUAACUACGUGCCAGCAGCCGCGGUAAUUC